ensembl:ncRNA lncRNA:CR44908 long non-coding RNA:CR44908
GUCUCAUCCCAUCCUCCAUCCUCCAUCCCCCAUCCCAAUCUCAGUCCCAAUCGCCAGGUCAGUUCAAAAUCGCAGCUCCAGUAAAACGGCUCCAAAAAGCCGAUGCAACGCAGCUGUCCGAUGGCUUUGGCUUUUCAGUUAGCCUACCUGGCGUGACCUUUUUUCCGCCGCUCAAGCUGUUUUUUAUCAUUGGAUCCCUCCUCGGAGGAGCCCUCCCACGCUCCCAGGCCUGUCAAUUAAAAGCCCAUUCGAUGGCCCAGGCCCUGAACUGCACGACUCGCUGCCAGUUGGCCAUAAACAAGGCAGGAAAAUACAAAUAAACCAAGU